CUACCAUAUUCUUUCUGUCAGUUUGAACAGCAGAAAAUACUGGAGACCUCUGAGUACCUUGGUUAUCAAACAGUUUGGAAUUGGAGUCAGAUUCCUGUAGUAUUUUUGAAGACCUCAAACUGCACUGCGGUGGCUCAACAGACUUUUGAGACUGGGAGAAACACUGUGGUUCUAUUAAGGGAGAGGAUUCUUCAUCUGAUUCACCACACACGGCUCCACUCUCUGCUUGGACCCCAUUACUGUCAUCUGCUUGGGAUUCCAUGCAGUUGCUUCUCUGUUGGUGAGACUGCUGUGAAAAUACGGUAUGAGAUGGGCC
rnacentral:lncRNA from 1 species